UGCUCAUACUACUGAUACUGCUGGGUAUAAUGCAAUGGAAGAAAGUGUGAGCAGGGAGAAGCCAGAAUUGACAGCUUCAACAGAAAGGGUCAACAAAAGAAUGUCCAUGGUGGUGUCUGGCCUGACCCCAGAAGAAUUUAUGCUCGUGUACAAGUUUGCCAGAAAACACCACAUCACUUUAACUAAUCUAAUUACUGAAGAGACUACUCAUGUUGUUAUGAAAACAGGUAUACCAAGAACCUUUACAGAAUACCUUGCAUCUGCUGCAUAAAACCACAUGAGGCGAGGCACGGUGGCGCAUGCCUGUAAUCGCAGCACUUUGGGAGGCCGAGGCGGGCAGAUCACGAGAUUAGGAGAUCGAGACCAUCCUGGCCAGCAUGGUGAAACCCCGUCUCUACUAAAAAAUAAAAAAAUUAGCUGGGUGUGGUCGCGUGCGCCUGUAGUCCCAGCUACUCGUGAGGCUGAGGCAGGAGAAUCACUUGAACCGGGGAGAUGGAGGUUGCAGUGAGCCGAGAUCAUGCCACUGCAUUCCAGCCUGGCGACAGAGCAAGGCUCCGUCUC
rnacentral:lncRNA from 10 species